GAUGAACGCUAGCGACAGGCCUAACACAUGCAAGUCGAGGGGCAGCACGAAGUAAGCUUGCUUACUUUGGUGGCGACCGGCGCACGGGUGCGUAACAGGUGUGCAAUCUGUCCAUAAUCGGGGAAUAGCCCAGCGAAAGUUCCGGCGGUUUGAGAUGGACAUGCGUUGUAUUAGCUAGUUGGUGAGGUAACGGCUCACCAAGGCGACGAUACAUAGGGGGACUGAGAGGUUAACCCCCCACAUUGGUACUGAGACACGGACCAAACUCCUACGGGAGGCAGCAGUGAGGAAUAUUGGUCAAUGGACGCAAGUCUGAACCAGCCAUGCCGCGUGCAGGAUGACGGCUCGUAUGAGUUGUAAACUGCUUUUGUAUAUGGGUAAAUGUAGGUACGUGUACCUAUUUGAAAGUAUAUACGAAUAAGGAUCGGCUAACUCCGUG
rnacentral:rRNA from 1 species